rnacentral:rRNA from 1 species
CCUACGGGAGGCAGCAGUGAGGAAUAUUGGUCAAUGGCCGGAAGGCUGAACCAGCCAUGCCGCGUGAAGGUCAGUGCCCUAUGGGCGUUAAACUUCUUUUGUGCGGGAGCAAUAAUGGUCACGUGUGGCCAGACGAGAGUACCGUACGAAUAAGCAUCGGCUAACUCCGUGCCAGCAGCCGCGGUAAUACGGGGGAUGCAAGCGUUAUCCGGAUUUAUUGGGGUUAAAGGGUGCGUAGGCUGUUAGGUAAGUCAGCGGUGAAAUGCCCCCGCGCAACGGGGUGAAGUGCCAUUGAUACUGCCUUGCUGGAAUGCGGAUGCCGUCGGAGGAAUGUGUGGUGUAGCGGUGAAAUGCAUAGAUAUCACACAGAACACCGAUUGCGAAGGCAUCUCACGAAUCCGCGAUUGACGCUGAUGCACGAAAGCGUGGGUAUCAAACAGGAUUAGAUACCCUAGUC